rnacentral:miRNA from 1 species
UUAGGUUGGUGCAAAAGUAAUUGCGGUUUUUGUCAUUACUUUUAAUGGCAAAAACUCUGAUAACUUUUGCACAACCUAAUAC